rnacentral:lncRNA from 1 species
GAGACGGUAUUUUGCCGUCGCUAAUAACAUUAGCGACGGUAAUUUUGCCAUCGUUAUUAGCGACGGUAAUUUUGCCAUCGCUAAUACUAUCCCUAUUUUACCGUCCAUCCAAUUUUCAACUUUUUACUUUCUCUCUUCCUCCUUUUCCUCGCCUCCGAUCCCCCCACCCCUUUCUUUACCCUGCCUCCGGUCUUCCUCUUUCCUCCGCUGCC